UUAAAUUGAAGAGUUUGAUCAUGGCUCAGAUUGAACGCUGGCGGCAGGCCUAACACAUGCAAGUCGAACGGUAACAGGAAGCAGCUUGCUGCUUUGCUGACGAGUGGCGGACGGGUGAGUAAUGUCUGGGAAACUGCCUGAUGGAGGGGGAUAACUACUGGAAACGGUGGCUAAUACCGCAUAACGUCGCAAGACCAAAGAGGGGGACCUUCGGGCCUCUUGCCAUCAGAUGUGCCCAGAUGGGAUUAGCUUGUUGGUGAGGUAACGGCUCACCAAGGCGACGAUCCCUAGCUGGUCUGAGAGGAUGACCAGCCACACUGGAACUGAGA
rnacentral:rRNA from 1 species